rnacentral:lncRNA from 1 species
UUUUUUUGAUUAUCUGAUUUUUAUUUUUAUUCCUCUCAUUUUCAUUAAUUCAUAUUAAUUUUAAUAUUGAUCCAAAAAAUAUGAGAGUUUCACCAAAAAAAAUUAAAUAAAAUCCACUUUCAUUUUCUAAAUUAAAAAUAUUUUUUGGAUCAUUAUUAAAAAUUUUCAUGAUUUAAUUGAUUUUCUGAAUAUUUUUAAUUGUUUAAAAAUACUUUUAUGUUUCCAAAAUUAUUGAAAAUUUUUCUCCAAGGUCCUUUGACCUUGUUUGACCUAUGAUAAAU